AAUGGCAUGGUUUAAUUUAGAAUGUGCGCUCUGCAAGCGCGAGGUGGGAUGUUUCCUUGCUGUUA
rnacentral:tRNA from 1 species